rnacentral:rRNA from 5 species
AACGCUGGCGGCGUGCCUAAUACAUGCAAGUCGAGCGAACAGACGAGGAGCUUGCUCCUCUGACGUUAGCGGCGGACGGGUGAGUAACACGUGGAUAACCUACCUAUAAGACUGGGAUAACUUCGGGAAACCGGAGCUAAUACCGGAUAACAUGUUGAACCGCAUGGUUCAACAGUGAAAGACGGUCUUGCUGUCACUUAUAGAUGGAUCCGCGCCGCAUUAGCUAGUUGGUAAGGUAACGGCUUACCAAGGCAACGAUGCGUAGCCGACCUGAGAGGGUGAUCGGCCACACUGGAACUGAGACACGGUCCAGACUCCUACGGGAGGCAGCAGUAGGGAAUCUUCCGCAAUGGGCGAAAGCCUGACGGAGCAACGCCGCGUGAGUGAAGAAGGUCUUCGGAUCGUAAAACUCUGUUAUUAGGGAAGAACAAAUGUGUAAGUAACUAUGCACGUCUUGACGGUACCUAAUCAGAAAGCCACGGCUAACUACGUGCCAGCAGCCGCGGUAAUACGUAGGUGGCAAGCGUUAUCCGGAAUUAUUGGGCGUAAAGCGCGCGUAGGCGGUUUUUUAAGUCUGAUGUGAAAGCCCACGGCUCAACCGUGGAGGGUCAUUGGAAACUGGAAAACUUGAGUGCAGAAGAGGAAAGUGGAAUUCCAUGUGUAGCGGUGAAAUGCGCAGAGAUAUGGAGGAACACCAGUGGCGAAGGCGACUUUCUGGUCUGUAACUGACGCUGAUGUGCGAAAGCGUGGGGAUCAAACAGGAUUAGAUACCCUGGUAGUCCACGCCGUAAACGAUGAGUGCUAAGUGUUAGGGGGUUUCCGCCCCUUAGUGCUGCAGCUAACGCAUUAAGCACUCCGCC